GUUGGAAGAGAGAUUAACCAUUCCCCUCUGUUUCUCUCCCGUGUCCCCUCUCCCCUUCUCGCUCUGAUCUCCUCGCCGGCGUCGAUUCGACCGGAUCCCGGCGGGACAGUGGCGAGGAGGAGUGCCUCUCGUUUUUGUCGGGAGAGUGCCUCUCGUUUCUGGAUAGAUUUGGUUGCGAAUUCCGGCCAUCUAGAUCGAGUGGAAGGGCGGUUCCUCUGCCUUGCUCCGGCGUCCUCGCCGUCGACGUCUCGGUACGGAUCUCUUUUGAAGGAGGUGAGUAGGAGCCGCUCUCGCGUCCUGACGGUGUUUCUCGAACGGAGGUGCUUGUGCGAGUUCCUGGCUAGUUCAUUUCUCAAGGACUUCUGCAAUUGUCUUUGUUUUCGUCGGCCUCGUCCUGUGUCGCCAUAUAUCCACUGAGUGAGUCUGUUUCUGCGGUGAAAUCCAAUUGAAAUCCAAUAGGUUCUGCCGUAUACAAAGGAUUAUCUAAGGUUUUCCAGUGCAUAUGAGAGGUUGUUUUUCUUCUACUUGACGAGUUCCUGCCUUCCUGGUCACUUUUUUGUUCUGAAUUUCAGUGUAUGAUUUCUUGUUCACUUCAGUUUCUUUUGUGUAUCUGUAUCAGAGAUUGGUAUAAGGAGGAUUAGUGCUAUAGUAUUUUUAGUUUCAA